CGGGUGAGUAACGCGUGAGGAACCUGCCUCAAAGAGGGGACAACAGUUGGAAACGACUGCUAAUACCGCAUAAGCCCACAGGUCGGCAUCGACCAGAGGGAAAAGGAGCAAUCCGCUUUGAGAUGGCCUCGCGUCCGAUUAGCUAGUUGGUGAGGUAAUGGCCCACCAAGGCAACGAUCGGUAGCCGGACUGAGAGGUUGAACGGCCACAUUGGGACUGAGACACGGCCCAG
rnacentral:rRNA from 1 species